AUUGAACGCUGGCGGCAUGCCUUACACAUGCAGGUCGAACGGCAGCACGGGAGCAAUCCUGGUGGCGAGUGGCGAACGGGUGAGUAAAGUAUCGGAACGUGCCCAGUCGUGGGGGAUAACGUAGCGAAAGUUACGCUAAUACCGCAUACGAUCUAUGGAUGAAAGCGGGGGAUCGCAAGACCUCGCGCGAUUGGAGCGGCCGAUAUCAGAUUAGGUAGUUGGUGGGGUAAAGGCUCACCAAGCCGACGAUCUGUAGCUGGUCUGGGAGGAAGACCGGCAACACUGGGACUGAGACACGGCCCAGACUCCUACGGGAGGCAGCAGUGGGGAAUUUUGGACAAUGGGCGAAAGCCUGAUCCAGCCAUGCCGCGUGCAGGAUGAAGGCCUUCGGGUUGUAAACUGCUUUUGUACGGAACGAAAAGGUUUGGCCUAAUAAGCUGAGCUCAUGACGGUACCGUAAGAAUAAGCACCGGCUAACUACGUGCCAGCAGCCGCCGUAA
rnacentral:rRNA from 1 species